rnacentral:tRNA from 1 species
AGUAAAGUUGACUAAGGGUUGGUU